GAUGAACGCUGGCGGCGUGCUUAACACAUGCAAGUCGAACGAUGAAGCCCAGCUUGCUGGGUGGAUUAGUGGCGAACGGGUGAGUAACACGUGAGUAACCUGCCCUUAACUCUGGGAUAAGCCUGGGAAACUGGGUCUAAUACCGGAUAGGAGCGUCCACCGCAUGGUGGGUGUUGGAAAGAUUUAUCGGUUUUGGAUGGACUCGCGGCCUAUCAGCUUGUUGGUGAGGUAAUGGCUCACCAAGGCGACGACGGGUAGCCGGCCUGGGAGGGUGACCGGCCACACUGGGACUGAGACACGGCCCAGACUCCUACGGGAGGCAGCAGUGGAGAAUAUUGCACAAUGGGCGCAAGCCUGAUGCAGCGACGCCGCGUGAGGGAUGACGGCCUUCGGGUUGUAAACCUCUUUCAGUAGGGAAGAAGCGAAAGUGACGGUACCUGCAGAAGAAGCACCGGCUAACUACGUG
rnacentral:rRNA from 1 species